CAAAGGCUAAAGGGACAAUAUGUCUAAAUAAGAUAGAGGUAAAAGAGAAAAGAAAAAAGAGAAAAGACGGCAUCACAUAAAAGCAAGUCUGUAAAAGUGAGUUUUCAAAUUUGAUUUUAUCAUGCCAGUGUAAUGAGUAACUAAGAAGAAAUCCCUCUAGACAGAGCAGAAAAUCCCUGAACAGAAAAUUCCCUCAGUUUAAUGUCACUUACAUGGGUAUUAAACCCAUUUAUGUUAUUUGAAGGCGUUUACAAUGCCCCACCACAAGGUGGCGUCUCAGCUGUUUACUUAUUGUCAUGGUCAGCGAGCAAGAACCCCUACUGCUGUUUGACCGAGACGUUAACGAGCAUCGGUAAGAAAGUCAAAUAGAGGUCGGAAAUUUCUGAUUUACCACUUUGGAGCAUCAUCUAAUGAGUCUUUCACUUAUUAGGGACGAGUUUGCUGUAUUAUUUUGGAGAAGCGGAGCAUUUUCACGCUGUGAGCCUCUAAGAGAUCUCCGGUAAGUGUGGUUUCUAAGAGGCUAGGCUUCGUUGUUAGCUUGUUUUGUGAAAAUGCCUGUCAUUGAGCUACUUUUCUAAAACCAAACGGAGCUACAGGAAUGUUUCCCAAUGUUUCUAUCCACAGUGGUACUGUCUGUAUCAUUGUGAACCAUGUAAACCAACUUUAAAAAGAUCGUUAGCUAAAUUAGCGCGGAGCUAACGGUAAUCGCGAGUGACGCUAAUCGCGACGUUAGCUCCGAUAUUGACUGUGAUAUGAAACUGUUAGCUGGGUAAGCUAACAUGUUGUUACAGAAGUUAGAGGAGAGAAAUUGAGAUCGCAAAUGACCGGUAUUUGAGUUGAUUAGGGUUGGGUACCGUUUGAUUUUGAAGGAUUCCGGUUCCGAUUCCUCAUUUUCGAUUCCGGUUCCUAACGAUUCUCUAUCGAUUCUUUUAAAAGGCAGGAUAUUAAAAAGGUGAAUGGUUUAAAUGAGGGUGAUAACCGGAGUUCUUCUUUUUGGAUGUAAUGUCUCCAUAAAUUGGUAAAUUAUAUUAACUUUUUACUUUACUAUGUGUUUCUCAAAGGGCUAUUCCAUUUUUAAAAGUUAUUAGGAGAUUCAUGUUUUGUAUGAUUGACACCUGAACAGCCUAUGGGUGUACAAGGAUUGUGUAGCUCCCCCGGGGGAUACACUGUUUGAGCCGAACAUCAUCAUAGCAACUCUCGGCAACUCUCCCGCUGAAUGCGCACAACGCUACUGCGCAAUGUUGGUUUCAGGAAAUGGAGAGAAAACGCAGAAUUACUGAGAGCUUUUCAGCUUUUAAUCCAUAUACUGGCAGAAGGCAGAACCAAGUUGUCCAUAGUAUAUGCAGUCUAUGGUACAAAAGCAGUGGUUCUUCCUGUACAAACUCAUUUGCAGUUAGUUGAGUGCUGUAUAUCCUGCUUCUGGAUAUAACUAUGAUGAUAUUAAGAUAUCUCUCACUUAUAUUUUCUGCGUAUAUCUCUGUGUAGAUUGGAUUUGGGAAGUAAUUUGGAUCCGUACCUCUGGAGGUUCGGUGGUGAACCGGGAAGAAACGGAAGCACUGUGUGGCCAGCCGUAGCGUCCACUUCAGAGAGCCCCAGACGUCCUACUUGACUCUCUAACACAGAUAAGAACCAACACAAAAAUCUACCCAGGUUUUAGUAGUCAUAUGAACAGAACUGAACUUUUGACUUCUAAGAAAGAAGAAGGGACACUUUUAUUUUAACUAUUUAAUGUUUUUUUUUUAAAUUAAAGAGCUGUAUUUGUUUUCUAUUUUUAAUUUUUCAUACACUGCAAAAAUUUAUGUUGUGAAACAAUAA